GAUGAACGCUAGCGGCAGGCUUAACACAUGCAAGUCGUGGGGCAGCGCGGACUUCGGUCUGGCGGCGACCGGCAAACGGGUGCGGAACACGUACGCAACCUCCCUCAGAGCGGGGAAUAGCCUCUCGAAAGAGAGAUUAAUACCCCAUAGUAUCUUGAAGACACAUGUCUAUGAGAUUAAAGCUUCGGCACUUUGAGAUGGGCUGCGGCUGAUUAGGUAGUUGGUAGGUAACGGCCUACCAAGCCGACGAUCAGUAGCUGAUGUGAGAGCAUGAUCAGCCACACGGGCACUGAGACACGGGCCCGACUCCUACGGGAGGCAGCAGUGGGGAAUAGUUGGUCAAUGGAGGAAACUCUGAACCAGCCAUGCCGCGUGGAGGAUGAAGGUCCUCUGGAUUGUAAACUCCUUUUAUAAAA
rnacentral:rRNA from 1 species